UGUGCCAUCAUCUCCCGCGCCGCGCGCGAGUGCAACCUCUAUAAAAGAAGCCACAGUGCAGCGUCGAAGCUCACAAGCAGCGAGAUCUCGAUCAAACAGCUUCUCUGAUCUCGCUCAGAAGCGAGGACAUCAGACAUUAUUGCAAUUGUAUUUGCACAGCAGCGAGAUCUCGCUCAGAAGAGACUCUGAAGAGAUAACGAGCUGCGCUUCUUCGUCCUCGAUCAACUAGCUUCUCUGGUCGCUUCCAUAUGGAGAGAGCUGCGUCAAGCUGCGCUAGCCUCCUAGCACAAAGGAGGUGCUACUCCGUGGCCGCGGUCGUGGUGAAGGGAUGCGGGCGGAAGGCCGUGGAGAAGGUGGCCAAGCGCAUCAUGGGCAAGGAGGUGAACACCGCGGCUGCCUCCGGGGAGAAGACGCCGUGGGUGCCGGACCCAGUCACUGGCUACUACCGCCCGGCGGGUGGCGCCAAGGAGGUGGACGCGGCGGAGCUUCGCGCCAGGCUGCUCACCAAGAGGAUCGCCAACUGAAUCAAUCUAGCUGCAGAGCAGUGCGGCUGAGAUUAUUUAGCGCCAGUUCAUCUCUUGGGCCUAGAGCAUGACGGUGCUGUAUCUUUUUGAGGCAUAACUAGCUUCAAGUUCGGACCGUCUGAAUAAAGUUAUCCCUGCAUAAACAGGGGGUUAGAGAAGUGGACUCACAUAUCCAGUUUCUGUAUUGAAGCAAACAAUAUUCUGGUGACCUUGAGCAUAUGCAAAGCACUGUAGCAAAGUGAGCACUGAAACAGAAAUGAAUAGCAAAAUAUUAUCACAUCAAGCAACCUUCCAUGGGGGUGCUCUGCAAGCGCCUGCUUAAAGUGGUUCCAGAAAAUGACUUAGUAAAACAAUUAAAUAUGCCUACUUGAUGGCAUUGCUCAACAUUGUUUAUAUACCAUUCUCCAACAAAACGCUUGACGUACUUGAGCGUGUCGGGAUGACUGAUUGUAAACCGUGCUCAACUCAUGUGAACACUCAGGUGAAACUCUCAACAGCUUAGGGCUGGCCAAUCAGCACAUACGGAAAUAAUUUUAGGGCUUAGGGUUGGCCACAAGAAACUACUAUCAUGUAUCAUACAAAGUACUUUUUUCUCGAACACGUAGGAGAGCUACACAUCAUUUUAUAAAAGAGGAAAAAAAACAGGGGAAAAGAAUCCCUUACAAGAAACCCACUUCAAUCCCCAACCUUGGGAGAAAGGAGUUGAGAAAACAAAGACGAAUCCGCGCCUGAGACAAACAGGAUCGACCUCUAGAAAGGAGAGA